AGCUCCAAUAGCGUAUAUUUAAGUUGUUGCAGUUAAAAAGCUCGUAGUUGGAUUUCGGGUGGGCUGCGCCGGUCUCCUAACGGUUGUACUGGCGACGCCUGCCUUGCUGCCGGGGACGGGCUCCUGCCUUCACUGUCGGGACCCGGAAUCGGCGACGUUACUUUGAGUAAAUUAGAGUGUUCAAAGCAAGCCUACGCUCUGAAUAUAAUAGCAUGGGAUAACACGACAGGACUCUGGCCUAUCGUGUUGGUCUGUAGGACCAGAGUAAUGAUUAAGAGGGACAGUCGGGGGCAUCCGUAUUCCGUUGUCAGAGGUGAAAUUCUUGGAUUUACGGAAGACGAACAUCUGCGAAAGCAUUUGCCAAGGAUGUUUUCAUUG
rnacentral:rRNA from 1 species